rnacentral:misc_RNA from 1 species
UGCGCUUCCCGCGGCAAUGAGCGUGCUUGGGCUUGGCCUGUCGGAAGCCCAGGUGACCAGCGAGCCGAUCACGCCGGCCGCGCCGCUGCGGGCACAAUAAUAUCAAAUCGUCAUGGCCGGGGGUGUNNNNNNNCUUUCUUCCGCAACAGCAAGGACGUGGAUCACCGGGACAAGCCCGGUGAUGACGACGACUGUGAGUAUUGAAAGAACACAAACAAGCGUCGGCACUUCGGCACUAUUGCCUCAGCUCACGCCGAGCUUCUUCUGCAGGCUC